AUUGAACGCUGGCGGCAGGCCUAAUACAUGCAAGUCGAACGAGUGGCGGACGGGUGUGUAAUGUCUGGGAAACUGCCCUAUGGAGGGGGAUAACUACUGGAAACGGUAGCUAUUACCGCAUAUCAUCGGAUGUGCCCAGAUGGGAUUAGCUAGUAGGUGGGGUAACGGCUCACCUAGGCGACGAUCCCUAGCUGGUCUGAGAGGUUGAACAGCCACACUGGAACUGAGACACGGUCCAGACUCCUACGGGAGGCAGCAGUAGGGAAUAUUGCACAAUGGGCGCAAGCCUGACGCAGCCAUGCCGCGUGUAUGAAGAAGGCCUUCGGAUUGUAAAGUACUUUCAGCGGGGAGGCGUUACUCGCAGAAGAAGCACCGGCUAACUCCGUGCCAGCAGCCGCGGUAAUUC
rnacentral:rRNA from 1 species